rnacentral:rRNA from 1 species
ACGAACGCUGGCGGCAGGCCUAACACAUGCAAGUCGAGCGGCCCUUCGGGGCAGCGGCGGACGGGUGAGUAACGCGUGGGAACGUGCCCUUUGGUACGGAACAACUGAGGGAAACUUCAGCUAAUACCGUAUGUGCCCUACGGGGGAAAGAUUUAUCGCCAUUGGAGCGGCCCGCGUUAGAUUAGCUAGUUGGUAGGGUAAUGGCCUACCAAGGCGACGAUCUAUAGCUGGUCUGAGAGGAUGAUCAGCCACACUGGGACUGAAACACGGCCCAGACUCCUACGGGAGGCAGCAGUGGGGAAUCUUGCGCAAUGGGCGAAAGCCUGACGCAGCCAUGCCGCGUGAAUGAUGAAGGUCUUAGGAUUGUAAAAUUCUUUCACCGGGGACGAUAAUGACGGUACCCGGAGAAGAAGCCCCGGCUAACUUCGUGCCAGCAGCCGCCGUAAAAC